ACAUGAGUGUGAUCUGCGUCCUCAUCUGGACUCUCCUCUGCUGCUGCUUCACAGAGUCCAGAGGACAGGUCACAGUGACUCAGUCUGGAGCAGUGAGCUUCAAUGUGGGAGGAUCUGUCUCCAUCUCAUGUACUACCAACAAUAAAGGAAUGUAUGGAAUCGAUCUUUCCUGGUAUCAACAGAAAAAUGGAGAAACUCCUAAACUACUAAUUUACACUGCUAGCACUCGAGCAUCUGGAACUCCAACUCGUUUUACAGGCAGUGGAUCAAGCUCUAGCACUGAUUUCACUCUGACCAUCAGUGGAGUUCAGAGUGAAGAUGCUGCAGUUUAUUACUGUAUGAGUCUCAUAACCAUCAACAGUCAGUGGGUGUUCACACAGUGA